rnacentral:rRNA from 1 species
UAUACUGUGAAACUGCGAAUGGCUCAUUAAAUCAGUUAUCGUUUAUUUGAUAGUACCUUACUACUUGGAUAACCGUGGUAAUUCUAGAGCUAAUACAUGCUAAAAACCUCGACUUCGGAAGGGGUGUAUUUAUUAGAUAAAAAACCAAUGCCCUUCGGGGCUCCUUGGUGAUUCAUAAUAACUUAACGAAUCGCAUGGCCUUGUGCCGGCGAUGGUUCAUUCAAAUUUCUGCCCUAUCAACUUUCGAUGGUAGGAUAGUGGCCUACCAUGGUUUCAACGGGUAACGGGGAAUUAGGGUUCUAUUCCGGAGAGGGAGCCUGAGAAACGGCUACCACAUCCAAGGAAGGCAGCAGGCGCGCAAAUUACCCAAUCCCGACACGGGGAGGUAGUGACAAUAAAUACUGAUACAGGGCUCUUUUGGGUCUUGUAAUUGGAAUGAGUACAAUUUAAAUCCCUUAACGAGGAACAAUUGGAGGGCAAGUCUGGUGCCAGCAGCCGCGGUAAUUCCAGCUCCAAUAGCGUAUAUUAAAGUUGUUGCAGUUAAAAAGCUCGUAGUUGAACCUUGGGCCUGGCUGGCCGGUCCGCCUCACCGCGUGCACUGGUCUGGCCGGGUCUUUCCUUCUGGGGAGCCGCAUGCCCUUCACUGGGUGUGUCGGGGAACCAGGACUUUUACUUUGAAAAAAUUAGAGUGUUCAAAGCAGGCCUAUGCUCGAAUACAUUAGCAUGGAAUAAUAGAAUAGGACGUGUGGUUCUAUUUUGUUGGUUUCUAGGACCGCCGUAAUGAUUAAUAGGGAUAGUCGGGGGCAUCAGUAUUCAAUUGUCAGAGGUGAAAUUCUUGGAUUUAUUGAAGACUAACUACUGCGAAAGCAUUUGCCAAGGAUGUUUUCAUUAAUCAGUGAACGAAAGUUAGGGGAUCGAAGACGAUCAGAUACCGUCGUAGUCUUAACCAUAAACUAUGCCGACUAGGGAUCGGGCGAUGUUAUCUUUUUGACUCGCUCGGCACCUUACGAGAAAUCAAAGUCUUUGGGUUCU